UAGAGUUUGAUCCUGGCUCAGAUUGAACGCUGGCGGCAUGCCUUACACAUGCAAGUCGGACGGCAGCGCGGGCUUCGGCCUGGCGGCGAGUGGCGAACGGGUGAGUAAUACAUCGGAACGUGUCCUGGAGUGGGGGAUAGCCCGGCGAAAGCCGGAUUAAUACCGCAUACGCUCUGCGGAGGAAAGCGGGGGACCUUCGGGCCUCGCGCUCAAGGGGCGGCCGAUGGCAGAUUAGCUAGUUGGUGGGGUAAAGGCCUACCAAGGCGACGAUCUGUAGCUGGUCUGAGAGGACGACCAGCCACACUGGGACUGAGACACGGCCCAGACUCCUACGGGAGGCAGCAGUGGGGAAUUUUGGACAAUGGGGGCAACCCUGAUCCAGCAAUGCCGCGUGUGUGAAGAAGGCCUUCGGGUUGUAAAGCACUUUUGUCCGGAAAGAAAGCGUCCUGGCUAAUACCCGGGGCGGAUGACGGUACCGGAAGAAUAAGCACCGGCUAACUACGUGCCAGCAGCCGCGGUAAUACGUAGGGUGCGAGCGUUAAUCGGAAUUACUGGGCGUAAAGCGUGCGCAGGCGGUUCGCUAAGACCGAUGUGAAAUCCCCGGGCUUAACCUGGGAACUGCAUUGGUGACUGGCGGGCUAGAGUAUGGCAGAGGGAGGUAGAAUUCCACGUGUAGCAGUGAAAUGCGUAGAGAUGUGGAGGAAUACCGAUGGCGAAGGCAGCCUCCUGGGCCAAUACUGACGCUCAUGCA
rnacentral:rRNA from 1 species